UGUCUUAGAAAGCUGCAUGAGUGGCAGAACGGUGGCUACUAUGACAGAGAGGCCGCCGUGGGCGAAGAGGGAGUGUGACAUUCUUCAGAAUUCAUCCUGGAAUCAAUAUUAUGCCAAAGAAAAUUUUCUGAAAGCUACACAGAUCAUACCACUGCAACUCAGCCAACCAGCACAUCGGACAGUGGGAGGAGGAAUUCUUGGCUAAGAGUACUGAGAGAUGGGGUUUCACCAUGUUAACCAGGAUUGUCUCAAUCUCCUGACCGCGUGAUCCACCUGCCUCAGCCUCCCAAAGUGCUGGGAUUACAGGCGUGAGCCACCAUGCCUGGCCAAAAUUCUGAAACCAGAUGUGAUAAGCUUGACAGAGCCUGCA
rnacentral:lncRNA from 1 species